rnacentral:hammerhead_ribozyme from 1 species
GCACUGCUUGAGAGUCCCACAAUAGGACGAAACGGCCGUCCAGUGC